AUUGAACGCUGGCGGCAGGCCUAACACAUGCAAGUCGAGCGGAUGAAGGGAGCUUGCUCCUGGAUUCAGCGGCGGACGGGUGAGUAAUGCCUAGGAAUCUGCCUGGUAGUGGGGGAUAACGUCCGGAAACGGGCGCUAAUACCGCAUACGUCCUGAGGGAGAAAGUGGGGGAUCUUCGGACCUCACGCUAUCAGAUGAGCCUAGGUCGGAUUAGCUAGUUGGUGGGGUAAAGGCCUACCAAGGCGACGAUCCGUAACUGGUCUGAGAGGAUGAUCAGUCACACGGGAACUGAGACACGGUCCAGAAUUCUACGAGAGGCAGCAGUGGGGAAUAUUGGACAAGGGGCGAAAGCCUGAUCCAGCCAUGCCGCGUGUGUGAAGAAGGUCUUCGGAUUGUAAAGCACUUUAAGUUGGGAGGAAGGGCAGUAAGUUAAUACCUUGCUGUUUUGACGUUACCAACAGAAUACGCACCGGCUAACUUCG
rnacentral:rRNA from 1 species